AACAAAACGAACUGGUUGUAAGUUGAAUAUUCAGGGAUUAUCGUUGUGGUGUGCAAAUGGCAUUGAAAAACUACGACAUUUAUUUAUAAAUUCGGAAGUUUCCGUUGGUUUAUGCAGAACAUCACAGAAUUAGGUUAUAAGAAGGGGGUAAAGUAAACUCUGAGUCCAGUGAUACGAAGACGGUAUUGGCAGAUCCGGAAUCCUGCAUAAGAACAGAAAACAUCGACUUAUUGGGACUGACAGCUACACGUUUAUCCUAUUUCGGAUCAAAAUUUAGUUUAUACCGUAAGUCAAAAUAAAGUAUUACAUAAUACGAUUUUAAAA